rnacentral:rRNA from 1 species
UACGUAGGGUGCGAGCGUUGUCCGGAAUUAUUGGGCGUAAAGAGCUCGUAGGCGGUUUGUCGCGUCGGCCGUGAAAACUUGGGGCUUAACUCCAAGCUUGCGGUCGAUACGGGCAGACUUGAGUUCGGCAGGGGAGACUGGAAUUCCUGGUGUAGCGGUGAAAUGCGCAGAUAUCAGGAAGAACACCCGUGGCGAAGGCGGCUCUCUGGGACGGUACUGACGCUGAGACGCGAAAGCGUGGGGAGCGAACAGG